rnacentral:rRNA from 1 species
UACGAAGGGUGCAAACGUUGCUCGGAAUUACUGGGCUUGAAGCGCACGUAGGCGGCGUUGUAAGUGUCGGGUGAAAUCCCACGGCUCACCCGUGGAACUGCCCGGCAUACUGCGAUGCUAGAGUGUGGUAGGGGAGAGCGGAACUCCUGGUGGAGCGGUGAAAUGCGUAGAUAUCAGGAGGAACACCGGUGGCGAAGGCGGCUUCCUGGACCGACACUGACGCUGAGGCGCGAAAGCUAGGGGAGCAAACGGG